rnacentral:sRNA from 1 species
GCAUGCGGUGUACGGAGUUAACCGGUA